CGCAGAGCUCGCGCGUCGGUGUGGUUACAGCCGGCAGCCACGGCACCUCCUUCCGGCCGACUAGUCUCCAGGUCCCGCGGUCUGGCCCCUGGUCACCCGGCGCUGUCCCUCGUUCCUUGAAGAUCUCCAGUGCUACCUUUUGUUGAACAUCUCGAAUACACCAAACCUUCUAGCUGCUAAUACUCAGAUUUAUGGACAAGAAGUUAUCAUUGAAAUUAAAUGGUGGCAGACAUGUCCAAGGAAUAUUGCGGGGAUUUGAUCCCUUUAUGAACCUUGUGAUAGAUGAAUGUGUGGAGAUGGCGACUAGUGGACAACAGAACAAUAUUGGAAUGGUGGUAAUACGAGGAAAUAGUAUCAUCAUGUUAGAAGCCUUGGAACGAGUAUAAAUAAUGGCUGUUCAGCAGAGAAACCCAUGUCCUCUCUCCAUAGGGCCUGUUUUACUAUGAUGUAAAAAUUAGGUCAUGUACAUUUUCAUAUUAGACUUUUUGUUAAAUAAACUUUUGUAAUAGUCAAAA
rnacentral:lncRNA from 1 species